CCUACGGGAGGCAGCAGUGGGGAAUAUUGCACAAUGGGGGAAAGCCUGAUGCAGCGACGCCGCGUGAGGGAAGAAGGAUUUCGGUAUGUAAAGCUCUAUUAGUAGGGAAGAAAAUGACGGUACCUGACUAAGAAGCCCCGGCUAACUACGAGCCAGCAGCCGCGGGAAUACGUAGGGGGCAAGCGUGAUCCGGAUUUACUGGGUGUAAAGGGAGCGUAGACGGUUUUGCAAGCUAGAUGUGAAAGCCCGGGGCUCAACCCCGGGACUGCAUUUGAAACUGUAAGGCUGGAGUGUAGGAGAGGCAGGCGGAAUUCCUGGUGUAGCGGUGAAAUGCGUAGAUAUUAGGAGGAACACCAGUGGCGAAGGCGGCCUGCUGGACGAUGACUGACGUUGAGGCUCGAAAGCGUGGGGAGCAAACAGGAUUAGAUACCCCUGUAGUC
rnacentral:rRNA from 1 species